rnacentral:misc_RNA from 1 species
UACGGGGGGGGCAAGCGUUGUUCGGAAUUACUGGGCGUAAAGGGCUCGUAGGCGGCCAGCUAAGUCGGACGUGAAAUCCCUCGGCUCAACCGGGGAACUGCGUCCGAUACUGACUGGCUUGAAUCCGGGAGAGGGAUGCGGAAUUCCAGGUGUAGCGGUGAAGUGCGUAGAUAUCUGGAGGAACACCGGUGGCGAAGGCGGCAUCCUGGACCGGUAUUGACGCUGAGGAGCGAAAGCCAGGGGAGCAAACGGG